GCGAUUCGAACUGUCAGUAAACGCUGGGAUUAGAUCUGCUCGAUCGGUCUACGGAACCGAAGGUCAGGGGUUCGAAUCCCUUCGGGCGCG
rnacentral:tRNA from 1 species